UUUACAUCAUCCCAAACAAAGAUUUGUUGUCAUUUUUGGGUUAGACUGCCAAUAGCAGAAACUAUGUCCCUGAGUACACUGGUUUGACAGCACCACUGAGUCUUUUGGUAAAAAAGCAGGGUUGGAGAAAUCUUAAUGCAUCACUGAAUUGGAACACAGACGCCAGGAAUCGUUCAUUUAGUUUAAACAGCUGCGGUAGUUUGCUGCAUAAUUGCUCUUUCAGGAUUACUGUCUGCCUUUUUAUUUAGAUGUUUCUGUAACAACAAUGUUGUUUCAGCGAAAAGGGGGAUAUAGAGGUGAUUCAGUAUGUUAGCUGUAUGCUAGAUAAUAUGGAAAAAGACAUGUUGAUAUGAAACAAUGGUUGAGAAGUGGAUUUGUGAUUGCAGCACAGAAGCUAAUCAAACAUAAAAAUUAAAUUAGAUUCAUGGCUCGAGCUUUGUUGUUGCCUAAAAAGGAGCAGGUUAUGCAUGCAGCUUCAAUAUAGUAAGUGUUGAAGCUGAGAACUUUGAACAUCUAAACCUGGAAAAAAUCAAACAGCAUCACAAAAGGGGUUCUCCACUUGAGGAACUUACUGUGUGGAAGAGAAAAGGCCCUGGUGAUAAAAGUUGUGAAGCCACCAAACAUGAGAGAACACAUUUCGGAAGAGGGACAUGGAACAUCACAUGUAAGUUUAAAACUACACCCCACCUGGGAAGGAGAUCAUCAUUGACUACACAGACAUGGUAUCCACAGCAAGAGCAUAUAGAUACAGGUUGGUCUGUGUGGAUGGAUAUUCAGGAUGGCCUGAGGCAUGGCCCACAAGAAAGGAACACAGUAAGUAUUUGGUAAAAUGUUUAAUUAAUCAUUAUAUUCCCAGACAUGGCUUCCCGGAAAAGAUAAGGUCUGAUAAUGGAACUCAUUUCAGGAGCAAAGAUCUGCAACAGGUGGAGCAAA